ACCUUAUUUAAAAAUUUAGUUAAAUUAUAACAUUAGUUUGUCAAACUAAAAUUAUUAAUUGCUUUUAAUAAUUUUUA
rnacentral:tRNA from 1 species